rnacentral:tRNA from 1 species
GUCCCUGUGGCUCAAUGGAUAGAGCACCAGUUUCCGGAACUGGGGAUUGAGAGUUCGAAUCUCUCCAGGGACG